CUACCCUGAACAAUCCUGAUCCCAUCUGAUCUUGGAAGCUAAGCAGAGUUGGGCCUGGUUAGUACUUGGAUGGGAGACCACCUAGGAGCUGUAGGC
rnacentral:rRNA from 1 species